GACCCCAGAGGAAGACGUGCAUUGGGUCCGCUGGCCCCAGGCCAGUGUCUCUCAGCCAUGUGCUCAACACCUGGUGAGCUGAAGCUCAGGCCCUUCCUGGCAUCCUGGUCUCCUGCACUGAGCUGUGCCUUGGUGGGCCGUGAACUGAAUGGUGGCGCUGGCCUGUGCCCAGUAUAUCUGGGUUCGGUGGCUGAGAGAGCUUUUGUUGCCCUGUGUCCGUGACGGGCCAGUGUUCUGCAUGCAUCCCAUCACAUGGAUCCAUGGAGGAUGUUGAGCCCAGAGGAAGACUUGCACUGGGCCCAAUGGCCCCAGGUCAGCGUCCAUCAGCCAGGUGUCCAGCCCCUGGUGCACUGAAGAUCGGGCCCUUCCUGGUGCCCUGGUCUCCUGCAUUGAGCUGUGGUGAGCACAUCCGGAUCCUGCUGGAUGCGUGUGCGGGGAAGGGGGUGCCCUGGGUUGGGUCAAUGAGAACCUUAUAUUGUCCUGAAGAGAGGUGAUAACUUAAAAAUCAUGCUCAAUAAUAGGAUUACGCUGAGGCCCAGUCUAGGUGAGAGGUUUGGAAGAGGAUGCUGGGAUUCCGAGGUCCCCAGGAGGGCCCCUGUAUUUUUGGCUGGAGACCUGGAGGCCCUGAAGGGCAUCUUGUGGGUGCCCAACCCUGUCUCUGCGCUCCUCCUUGAGGCAGCCCAGGCUCCCUGUGCAGGCUUGGUGUCAGCCCUCCAGUUCCCUGGGUUUGAGGCACAUGGGAAGCUCCUUUCUGAGCCCCGUUCUCCUCUUGUGUCUUU
rnacentral:lncRNA from 1 species